UUGAACGCUGGCGGCAUGCUUUACACAUGCAAGUCGAACGGCAGCGCGGGCUUCGGCCUGGCGGCGAGUGGCGAACGGGUGAGUAAUACAUCGGAACGUGCCCAGUAGUGGGGGAUAGCUCGGCGAAAGCCGGAUUAAUACCGCAUACGACCUGAGGGUGAAAGCGGGGGAUCUUCGGACCUCGCGCUAUUGGAGCGGCCGAUGGCAGAUUAGCUAGUUGGUGGGGUAAAGGCCUACCAAGGCGACGAUCUGUAGCUGGUCUGAGAGGACGACCAGCCACACUGGGACUGGGACACGGCCCAGACUCCUACGGGAGGCAGCAGUGGGGAAUUUUGGACAAUGGGCGAAAGCCUGAUCCAGCAAUGCCGCGUGUGUGAUGAAGGCCUUCGGGUUGUAAAGCACUUUUGGCGGGAACGAAAAGGACUGUGCCAAUACCACGGUUCGAUGACGGUACCCGCAGAAUAAGCACCGGCUAACUACGUG
rnacentral:rRNA from 1 species